rfam:Salmo salar isolate Sally breed double haploid chromosome ssa16, whole genome shotgun sequence.
UGCAUGUAUGAAUGUAAGUCUUUGGAUAAAAGUGUCUGCUAAAUGGCUUAUA